CUGCUCUCUAAAAUAAAAACGCUCAUUUUUGAGUAGCGCCCAUGCCGCACAAGGACUGUGUUGGAAACACACAUUUUUUUAAAUUGCUCGUACGCUCACAUUUUUGCAAAAUAUCAAUAUUUUUCGGUAUUUGAAGGUGGUUUAUAAACCCAGUGAGCUGCCAUGUCGAAAUUAUUGCAAAAUACAUGCUCAUGUGAGCGUACGAGCAAUUUAAAAAAAAUGUGUGUUUCCAACACAGUCAUGUGCGGCAUGGAUGUUUACUAAAAAUGUGCAGGUCAAACACAUUUUUGAGCGUAGCCGUUUUUGCGUGUGAUGAGCGAAAUGAAUCCGUCAGCCGACCUGGACCUUCCAGCAGUUCUACACCGUUGGUACCGAGACCAACCAGAACUAUCAGGCUUCCACGACAUCUUCAAGACUUCGUUCUCUCUUAGGAGGGAGAUGUUACCAAACCAUAAUAAAUAUUAAGCAGAUACCACAACCAGCCAUAAAAUAUUAUACACUCAGGAAAAUAUCUUCAUUAAAUGCAUGUGCAUUUGCACAUACCAUGGUCAAUUUAUCAAUUUCAUUAAUUUCAUUUGUACCAUAUACUCGCCAUACUACUUCGAAUGGCUCACAUUUGUGACUCGCAUAUGUACCAUUUGACUUCUAAUUCAAAGUAUGAGCCGGCUUUAUACCCACUAGACAAACAAAUCUUAUUGCAAAAACGAAGAUGGCCAUCGAAAAAAGUUUCCGCGCUUGGAUCACCUGACGUUGUUUCAACAGUAUUUGCAGGUAUGAACAGCAGGAAGUUCGCAGCUACGGUCCGGACCAACAGCAAGCGAAAUCGUUUGCAAGAUCGAUGGAGUAUCCUCCUUUGGCGCCAAGAAUCGGGAUUCAAUACGUUGGCCGCUUUUGGAACGACACCGUAGAAGAUGCGAACGCUCAGGGGUCGGAGGCGACAGUCAAUCAUCGGAUACAUUCCGAAUCCUUGAAUCCAACCUCAUUAUUCAGUGAAAUAAACUUUUUCGUUUUAAAAUUAUAAAGUAAUGUCGUUCAAAAUAUUUUUAAUACAGGAAACAAAAGUUUUAAGCGAAAUGCCUUACAUUAAAACGAUGUAUACCAUCAAUACAACCCACUGAAAAAAUCCAUGAAAAGUAUGAAUUCUACUUAUGGAUUCCAUGAAUGAUUGUCAUCAGUUUAAUGGAAAACACAGUUGGCGAUAAUUCAUUGACGCUGCACAUACUCUUCAUGAGCCAAACCCCAUUGCAAAAUUCCAUGUAGUUUGGCACAUGAAUCAAAUGAAGAUUUUUUCCUGAGUGUAGUACAUUUGAAUUUGAAUUACAUUCCUAAUCCAAGUAGUCAUGUGGUUUGUGGUAUCCCGUAGCAACCUAGAAUUUUCACUCAGUCGAUUCAGUUCUCUCUAAAAUAAAAGCUCUCAUUUUUGAGUAGCGCCCAUGCCGCACAGGGACUGUGUUGGAAACACACAUUUUUUUAAAUUGCUCGUACGCUCACAUUUUUGCAAAAUAUCAAUAUUUUUCGUUAUUUGAAGGUGGUUUAUAAACACAGUGAGGUUGCCAUGUCGAAAUUAUUGCAAAAUACAUGCUCAUGUGAGCGUACGAGCAAUUUUAAAAAAAUGUGUGUUUCCAACACAGUCAUGUGCGGCAUGGAUGUUUACUAAAAAUGUGCAGGCCGAACACAUUUUUGAGCGUAGCCGUUUUUGCGUGUUUGUAAUUAGCUUUCAAUAAAAUCAGACGCUUUGUAAAAGCACGUGUAAAAGUUAAUCGCAACAACUACAAAAAAAAAAUCCGGUAAUUCCUUCGGAACUACUUCUUCCAAUAAAAUAUAUUGGAAUUUCGCCAGAGGAAGAAUGGUUCUGCUAGAGUUUCUUCAAUCAUUCAUUCAUGGGGUUUUUUUCGGAGAUCUUACAAAUAUUCCUUUAACUCUCGAGCGAUCGCGCUGUUGUAUUUUGUACAACACGAUGAAAAAAUUGUUGGCCGACCACCGAAAUGAAGAACGAUUACACAAUCGCAAAAGAAAAGACUACGCGGAAUGUUGUUACGAGCUAUCGUGUAUUUGAUGUUUCUCUUGAAACGUUCACUUAUUGACUAAGGGCCGAUUUCUUCACCCGGGCUUAAAUUUUAAACCAGGCUUAGCAAAAUUUUAAGCCGGGCUUAACUUUUUUUUGAUUUCUUCACCUCGGCUUAACCACUAAACCCGGUUUAAUAAAGCUACGGUUUACGUUAAGUAUGGCUUAUUUUAAGCGGUGCUCUGAGGUGGCUUAGCAGCGCUAAGCCAGGCUUAAGCCGCAAAUUGCAGAGUUUGGGUUUCUUCACCUGCUUCAUGGAUGCAUUUUUGAAACAGCAGAAAAUAUUUUUAAUAAAACAUGUUUGGAUACGGAUGGAGGCGAUGAUAAAGAAAAUGAUAAUCUAUAGUCGGCACGUCGUCAAUAUAAAAUAUUCAACAUCAGUUUUUUGGACAACCAACCUUCAAAAAGGCUCCGUGUUGAUAGUUUUGGAAAUUUGUCAUCCUGAUUUGGAAGUCGAAAGUACAUUUGCAUUGAAGUUUCUAUUUAUUUUAAUACGGUCCUUCCAUAAUUUCACAUCAUAAUAAACAUAUAUUUGUCUCUUAUGGUUCAAGAGAUGUUUUUUUACAAACCAAAUUAGGAUGACACUAAAAAAAUCUUCUAAUAAGUUUUUAUACACUGAUUUCAUACAAAAACUUAGUUCUAACCACGUUUAGGCCUUCGAAUAUUCAACAUUUUGACUCAAUUCUAAAUAUAAAAAGUAUUAUUCGUGGUGUACUUCUAAACAUGUUUUAUUUGGAAUACCAUAUAAGGUGACGUUGGAUAUUAUCGGCAGGUUUGUUAUUUUUGUCGUGGGGGGUUUUUGUCGGCCAAAAUGCCUGAAACAUGCCAAUAUCAUUCAGCUUACUUUGGAAGGAUUUCAGGCCAACUUCGAGUUCAAUAGGCUUCAAAAAACCUCCCAUGACAAAGAGAACAAAACUGCCGAAAAUACGUAAGUUCCGUGGAUACGUGGAUCGCCUAUCUAAAAAUGACGCAAGUGGAUUUUAAAUAUCUUUUUGCAAUUCGGCACUAUGAAAUUUGAUUUACACUUGCCGUAUCACGACGGACUAGUUUUUCGUACUUUACCAAACAAUUGCAAUAUGAUUCAUAACACUAGUUUACAAAAUAAAACGAAAGUCG